AUCAAGAGAGAGACGGCUGACGUCAUCCUGAAACCAGACCAACCCCCUCUGGACUAACUAGACUAAUUAACCUCCUCAGACCCAAGACACAGUCAAACAAGUAGGCCAGCACAACAAGAGAGACCCAAAUCACCCCGAGUCCAUGUAAUGUGUUCAUGCAGGACACAAAACGACUGCUAUCUGCUUCAUGAAUGUGAUUGUGCCUCAAGAGAUGCACUGAACAUUUACAAGUUCCUCUGCAAGAAUGAGGUCUGAUGGGAUUCCCAAGAUUGUGUAUCCACAAGCUUUAGAUUCCUCAAGAUGUUUAUCAUACUCCACAUCAACGAACCAGAAAGCAGCCAAACUACCAAAUAAAGGUUGUUUUGGUCGUAA